AGGCAAGAAAGAAAGAAAUGGGCAUGCCUGCAAGGUGACAACGGGCUCCCACAGACAGCUCCUCAUGGAGAAGCCAGUAUAAAGAAUGAAGGAGAGGACAAUGAGCCAGCUUUGAGGAACGGUCGUGAACAGACUCAGCCAUACCCACAUGUACAAACGAGACACACAACGACUUGUCACUGGCCACGUGGAUGUUAUGACUGCCAGCGUGCAAACAUGGCAACGCACACUCCGAGAAGUUCAGGUGAUGAUGAUGAUGAAGAUUGGCAAAAUCGCUUGGUUCGUGGAAUGCACAGACAGAAGGGUACACAUAUAUGGGCACGGAGAUGAUGGCGGCCUUCUCCUUUCCUGAAAUGAGAUCCCUGAAACUGAUAAAGGAAAGAGUACUUGGUGGAGCAUUGCUUCGGAUGUAGGCAAGCAGAGACUGGGACAGCCCACUACAAGGUGUCAGGAAAUGACUCCUUGGGCACUCCCCUGCACAGG
rnacentral:lncRNA from 1 species